AUGGCCAAAUACUUUUGGAGCAGCUCUAUCGAGAAGAAUACGUUGCAUUGGGUUUCCUGUAAUAAUCUGGCAACACCAAAGUGCAAAGGGGAAAUGGGGUUCCGAGACCCCCAUCAGUUUAAUCUUAUGUUUCUUGGGAAGCAUGGUUGGCGUCUUAUGACUAACCCUAGUUCUCUUUGUGCAAGGGUACUGAAGGGCCGCUACUACCCUGAUACAAAUGUUAUGCAUGCUCUUGUUCCCAAAUCGGCGUUAGCAACUUGGCAAGCGAUCAUUGCUGGUAGGGGAGCAUUGCAAGCGGGUCUUAUUAAGAGAGUGGGAGACGGUAAUUCCAUUGAUGUGUGGACUGGUAAGUGGAUUCCUGGACCAUCUCUAUGA
rnacentral:rRNA from 1 species